ensembl:snoRNA
AUCUUUUUGUAGUUCAUAAGUGUGAUGAUUGGGUUUUGACAUGCAUGUGUGAGGUGUGCCACCCUCAAACCUUGUUACGAUGUAGACACAUGACCCUCUGAUG